GGGGUUGUUUUAGGUAUCGACAGGGAUAGUUGAAAUUAUAUGGCGAGUCGAGUGGACGAUCUCGGUAAAACCGUCAAAGCCGAUAACUGGCAAACAACAAAACAACUUCGCUUUCGCUGCCUAAUACCAGUCGAUAGCGGUUCCUUCCUCCAUCGUCCAUGUGGCAGGAUAAGGGACUUAAAUUAAGUGGACUACGCCUGAUUUCCACCGUCUGAGGAAGAAGGAAGAGACCAACCAGACUAGCAUCUUCCAUGCCCGUCAGUAGGCUAAAGGAGAAGGCGAAGGACAAUAUUACUGACUACACUCGUAGAAGUAUAACGGACAUUAUCUUUGCACACCGGUUCGAAUCCGGUCAGCUCCACUU
rnacentral:tmRNA from 1 species